AGUCAGGAAGGAACAAAUGAAGUUCACCAUCGUCCUCAUUCUGACCUUUGAGCUCUUCUCUUUUGGUCAUUGGAUUGAGGGCCUAUCACAUCCUCAAACAAAACCUAAACCCACGAUACAAGCCCCCAACGGAGGGAAGGUUGUUCUGCCAUGCCCACUACAAUUCAACAAGAAGCAUUCAGAUUUAACAUGGAAAUGGACCAAUCAGUCGGAAAUAAAAUAUGUUUUGGUGUACAAGGACGGACGUGAACAUGCAGGGGAACAAGAUACGUCUUAUACUGGCAGAGUGAGUCUGGAGGAUAGUGAGUCACCAUCUUUAUUGUUGAGAAACGUCAAGAGUACAGACUGGGGGACAUACAUUUGUACAGUCCACACUGAUAAAGGAAAGGACACCCGGGUGGUGGAACUACAGGUUCACCCAGAUGGCACAGCAGGAACUGGCCACCUAAUCAAUUCAGCUGGUACUGCUGUGACUUCGCAGUCAAGUUUAAUUAUCAUGGCUAUUUUAUCAAUGGUGUUGGUGUUAUUUUGCCUAUGAUUUUCAUUGAAUUGCUUCGGGUCGCUUUGCUUCUAGGACCAUGAGAUGAAAUUCUCAGCAGACAAUCCUAAUCCUAGUACCUAACGUAAAUACUCAGCGUACUAGGCUGAAGAAAGAAUUCAAGUUCCUGCUAUAUAUAUAUAUAUAUUUUUUUUUUUUUCUUUUUUUCUCAUAUCUGAUCAAACCCAU